rnacentral:lncRNA from 1 species
AUGAAAUAUAAAGUAAAAAUAAAACUCAAAAACACACACUGAGUGGUGGGGGUGCGUACGAUCGCACAGGAAGAAAGGGGCACAAACCCUAAUUCAAGAUAAACCUUCAAAUUGAAAGGGGAAACUGGCUCUAAUCGGAUGCAUGAACCUAGAUUCUUAAUCAUCUAGACUUUCUACACAUGAGCUUGACUCUUGACAAGCUAUAUGGGAUCUUGGAGAAGAAUGGGUUAAACGGAUCAAGUACGCAAAGAAGCUCUAAAGGACACAAAGAGCGAAUAGCAAUUUGGAUACUUGCAUCGCCAUAAAGUUUCGGUUAAUAAAGCGAGGUAUAAAAACGGGUCUAUGCGUUGACUCGAGCCAGGUACGCGACGAAACAUUUUGUUGUUGUUAAUUGUUAAUACGUAAAUCUUAUACAUUGAUGAUAUAUGAAAGUUC